rnacentral:rRNA from 1 species
AUUGAACGCUGGCGGCAGGCUUAACACAUGCAAGUCGAGCGGGGUGAUGGUGCUUGCACUAUCACUUAGCGGCGGACGGGUGAGUAAUGCUUAGGAAUCUGCCUAUUAGUGGGGGACAACAUCUCGAAAGGGAUGCUAAUACCGCAUACGUCCUACGGGAGAAAGCAGGGGAUCGCUUGUGACCUUGCGCUAAUAGAUGAGCCUAAGUCGGAUUAGCUAGUUGGUGGGGUAAAGGCCUACCAAGGCGGCGAUCUGUAGCGGGUCUGAGAGGAUGAUCCGCCACACUGGGACUGAGACACGGCCCAGACUCCUACGGGAGGCAGCAGUGGGGAAUAUUGGACAAUGGGGGGAACCCUGAUCCAGCCAUGCCGCGUGUGUGAAGAGGGCCUUAUGGUUGUAAAGCACUUUAAGCGAGGAGGAGGCUCUUUUGGUUAAUACCCAAGAUGAGUGGACGUUACUCGCAGAAUAAGCACCGGCUAACUCUGUGCCAGCAGCCGCCGUAA